rfam:Oryctolagus cuniculus chromosome 1, whole genome shotgun sequence.
CCACCCGCCACGCGCUCUCAGCAGGCCUGUGUGGCGCAGCCCUCCCCCCACCGCCCCAUCCUAGCUUUCAGGAGUGUGGGCGCCUCAAGGCCGCGGGCGAGUCCCUCCAG